CACAUAUUCGAACUCAGCACACUUUAAUUAUAAACAUACCCAAAAACCAUACAAUUCCCUCCAGUAGUUCAAAAGUUAGGUAAAAGUCCUAUUUGGGACAAAACAGCUUGUUUCAAAUGGUUUGGCAGUGUCCCUGGGACAAUGCCUUGCUGGAGAACAAUGGUAUAGGUAUUAGAGGGGGAGGGGAAGAGACACAUGCUCCCAUGGAAUCAAAGGGCAGAAACAGUCUUUUAAAAGCCAAUAAGCCCAAAUAGUCUUUUUAACUGGCAAAGUCUCCCAGGGACCAUAGUCACAUGACAGGAGGCUGGCAAUUAGUCCUCUCCAGGCACAAGUGGCAAAGGGCACUUCGUCACACAUCUUCCCUUUGGGGGGAAGACUAAACAGGUACCUGACCUUCUGCUGGUCAGUACCUAAGUUAGUCGGGCAGCCCACCCACAAAGAAAAAUACGCAGAGUAUCCCCCCCACAAUAAAUGGUACUGGCCUGUAGGUUCAAGUUUGUAGUGGGACAGCGCAGCACUCUCGGUCUCUCUGGUGCAGCUAGGCAAACUGCUGGUGUUGCUUGGGGGGCAGAGGUCAGCAGCGCUCUGCCCUGCUGCCAGCUCUUGCACUGGGGUAACCCGUGGUAAGUCAGGCUCUGAUACAGGGAAAAAGGGGGGGCCGAGCCUAACAGAGGUCUGCCCAGAUGCCAGCUCUUCUACUGGGAUAGCCUGCAUGGUGUCAGGCUCUGAGCAAGGUACCAGGGUAGGGCAGAGGCCAGCGGCGCUCUGCUCAGGUGCCAGCUCUUCUGCUGGGAUAGCCUGCAGGGUGUCAGGCUCUGGGCAAGGUACAAGGGUAGGGUAGAGGCCAGUGGCGCUCUGCUCAGGUGCCAGCUCUUCUGCUGGGAUAGCCUGCAGGGUGUCAGGCUCUGGGCAAGGUACAAGGGUAGGGCUGAGGCCAGCGGCGCUCUGCUCAGGUGCCAGCUCUUCUGCUGGGAGGGGUCAGUGGGUAUUGCACUGUCCCCAGGACCCGGUCGGGUUGUAGCCGUGGAGGGGAGGGCUUGCUUACCUCCUCCUCCUGGUAUCCCUGCAGGGAUAGUUGGGGAUCUGGACCGCCCGUCCAGCAUCCCUGUAGGACUGGCACAGAGACCACGGUCCCAUCUGCGCCAGUGUGGUUAGGGUUGUUCUCCCCCUCACCCGGUAUCUCCUGCUGCGGUGUGAGAGGGAGGCCGGCUGCCCCCACUCCCCAGGACGCUGGUUGCUGUAUGGUGGAGGGAUCUACCAUCACCUCCUCCUGGAACUCAGGCCGCCGCUGGGGAGAGAGACCAGUUGUCUCCUCUCCCUGUGAGAUGCACUGCUGCUGGGGAUCUGGGCCGGGUACCCAGCAUCCCUGUAGGGCCGGUGGAGAGACCUCUGUCCCAUCUCCACCUGCCAUCUGUGGGCCUUCCCAGGACCGUUCUAUAAGGUUGCUCACCUCUGGGGCUGGUUGGACAGAAGAGGGUACGGUGUACAGGUAAUCCUCUGGGCUAAGGGUCGGUGAUUGGGCUAAGUCGAACAGUUGAUCGUACUCCUAUUCUAGCUCCCAUUCGAUUGUGAUCAGGCGGUUGAUAUCUGGUCCCAGUCCAGUAGUAUCAGGGAGCUCCAGUGCAUGCAAUCGCCAUCCCCAGAUGUCCCAAUGCCGGGACUCCUCGGUGCUGCCAAAGUCACAGUCCUCCUCCAAUGCCUCCUAUAACAGACCAGGGCCAUUGUAAUCACGGCCCUCUGGCCUUUCACUCUCAGCUAUCCAGGGGCACCUCUGGACCGAGUACCACCGUAGCGCACGGUAAGCCUCAUCCAGCCACAGUUCUUUUCUGAUCAACCGCUGCAAUUCCAGCACCCACUCUCUCUGGGACAGAUACCCUAGGAAGGGCCUCCUCAGCGCCGUUUGUUUCUGACUGCACUGUGCUUCGCUUGGGAGAUUCUCUCCCCCUGGACCUUGUGUCCACUCCAAGGCCUCCUGCCAGAGGUCUCGCUGUAUCCCAUCUCUCCAGGCCAGCUCCUCCUCGGCUGAAAUCGGGCCACACUCCUGAGCCAUGGCAUUUUGAAGUCUCCAUAGGAACUCCUCCUCGUAGGGUAACGCUACCCGGGGGCUAGCUUGCUUCAUCCCUUCGAGUUCCUCCAUAGACAGGGGCACUGCACAAGUGCUAGCGUUGCCCUCAAUUAUAAAUCCGUAACUCCACAUGUUAACGGUGUCUCCGAGUUGCUGGUCCUCGCACUAGGACGCCAUCCCGCCGCUGCCACCAAAUGUGACGGAACGCUGGCACUCCGACUGAGUACCUCCGCCAAUCGAUGCGCCUAGUGCUCGCUGAGGACUCCAAGCACUCCAACCGACACCAUCAGCACUGCAGAUCCCACUUCCAGCGAUACAGUUGCGCCAGGGUCUCGCCGUCUCCACCCACCCUGGAUCCACGACCAGGAUCCAGCUCCCAGUGGGUGAACCUCUCCUAAAUCCAGAGAGCAUAGCAGGAACAAAUCAAGCUAUUGCAAGAGCUUACUCUGAGAAGUAAGUGAUUACAGCAAUCCUCAGAGUGUAGGUAUCCCUUCCCCCAAACAUGAGCCAAGGCUUCAAGAAAGGUACAAGAUGAUCUGAUUUUAAUGACCACACACUGGCUUUUAUGCAAGUCCCCAUGCAAGGGGACAUCCCACAGGGUUGGACACAGUACAACCAAUCCUUUACAGGCAAACCGUAAAACACACCCACCACCAACAUACAAUCCCUCCCCUCUGCCUGUGAUAUAAUUACUGAACACAAUGGGUUAAUGUAAUUUAUCACAGGCAGGACAAAUACACUUUAUGCAACAUAUUAAUAACUUCCAAAAUAUACAUGCCACAAACAUAAAUCACAUAUUCGAACUCAGCACACUUUAAUUAUAAACAUACCCCAAAAUCAUACAAUUCCCUCCAGUAGUUCAAAAGUUAGGUAAAAGUCCUAUUUGGGACAAAACAGUUUGUUUCAAAUGGUUUGGCAGUGUCCCUGGGACAACACCCUGCUGGAGAACAAUGGUAUACAGGGAGUGCAGAAUUAUUAGGCAAAUGAGUAUUUUGACCACAUCAUCCUCUUUAUGCAUGUUGUCUUACUCCAAGCUGUAUAGGCUCGAAAGUCUACUACCAAUUAAGCAUAUUAGGUGAUGUGCAUCUCUGUAAUGAGAAGGGGUGUGGUCUAAUGACAUCAACACCCUAUAUCAGGUGUGCAUAAUUAUUAGGCAACUUCCUUUCCUUUGGCAAAAUGGGUCAAAAGAAGGACUUGACAGGCUCAGAAAAGUCAAAAAAUAGUGAGAUAUCUUGCAGAGGGAUGCAGCACUCUUAAAAUUGCAAAGCUUCUGAAGCGUGAUCAUCGAACAAUCAAGCGUUUCAUUCAAAAUAGUCAACAGGGUCGCAAGAAGCGUGUGGAAAAACCAAGGCGCAAAAUAACUGCCCAUGAACUGAGAAAAGUCAAGCGUGCAGCUGCCACGAUGCCACUUGCCACCAGUUUGGCCAUAUUUCAGAGCUGCAACAUCACUGGAGUGCCCAAAAGCACAAGGUGUGCAAUACUCAGAGACAUGGCCAAGGUAAGAAAGGCUGAAAGACGACCACCACUGAACAAGACACACAAGCUGAAACAUCAAGACUGGGCCAAGAAAUAUCUCAAGACUGAUUUUUCUAAGGUUUUAUGGACUGAUGAAAUGAGAGUGAGUCUUGAUGGGCCAGAUGGAUGGGCCCGUGGCUGGAUUGGUAAAGGGCAGAGAGCUCCAGUCCGACUCAGACGCCAGCAAGGUGGAGGUGGAGUACUGGUUUGGGCUGGUAUCAUCAAAGAUGAGCUUGUGGGCCUUUUCGGGUUGAGGAUGGAGUCAAGCUCAACUCCCAGUCCUACUGCCAGUUCCUGGAAGACACCUUCUUCAAGCAGUGAUACAGGAAGAAGUCUGCAUCCUUCAAGAAAAACAUGAUUUUCAUGCAGGACAAUGCUCCAUCACACGCGUCCAAGUACUCCACAGCGUGGCUGGCAAGAAAGGGUAUAAAAGAAGAAAAUCUAAUGACAUGGCCUCCUUGUUUACCUGAUCUGAACCCCAUUGAGAACCUGUGGUCCAUCAUCAAAUGUGAGAUUUACAAGGAGGGAAAACAGUACACCUCUCUGAACAGUGUCUGGGAGGCUGUGGUUGCUGCUGCACGCAAUGUUGAUGGUGAACAGAUCAAAACACUGACAGAAUCCAUGGAUGGCAGGCUUUUGAGUGUCCUUGCAAAGAAAGGUGGCUAUAUUGGUCACUGAUUUGUUUUUGUUUUGUUUUUGAAUGUCAGAAAUGUAUAUUUGUGAAUGUUGAGAUGUUAUAUUGGUUUCACUGGUAAUAAUAAAUAAUUGAAAUGGGUAUAUAUUUGUUUUUUGUUAAGUUGCCUAAUAAUUAUGCACAGUAAUAGUCACCUGCACACACAGAUAUCCCCCUAACAUAGCUAUAACUAAAAACAAACUAAAAACUACUUCCAAAAAUAUUCAGCUUUGAUAUUAAUGAGUUUUUUGGGUUCAUUGAGAACAUGGUUGUUGUUCAAUAAUAAAAUUAAUCCUCAAAAAUACAACUUGCCUAAUAAUUCUGCACUCCCUGUAGGUAUUAGAGGGGGAGGGGAAGAGACACAUGCUCCCAUGGAAUCAAAGGGCAGAAACAGUCUUUUAAAAGCCAAUAAGCCCAAAUAGUCUUUUUAACUGGCAAAGUCUCCCAGGGACCAUAGUCACA